AACGAGCGCUGGCGGCAUGCCUAACACAUGCAAGUCGAACGAAGCCUUCGGGCUUAGUGGCGCACGGGUGCGUAACGCGUGGGAAUCUGCCCUUUGGUUCGGAAUAACAGUUGGAAACGACUGCUAAUACCGGAUGAUGACGAAAGUCCAAAGAUUUAUCGCCAGAGGAUGAGCCCGCGUAGGAUUAGCUAGUUGGUGUGGUAAAGGCGCACCAAGGCGACGAUCCUUAGCUGGUCUGAGAGGAUGAUCAGCCACACUGGGACUGAGACACGGCCCAGACUCCUACGGGAGGCAGCAGUGGGGAAUAUUGGACGAUGGGCGAAAGCCUGAUCCAGCAAUGCCGCGUGAGUGAUGAAGGCCCUAGGGUUGUAAAGCUCUUUUACCCGGGAUGAUAAUGACAGUACCGGGAGAAUAAGCCCCGGCUAACUCCGUGCCAGCAGCCGCGGUAA
rnacentral:rRNA from 1 species